AAAGGAUUUAUUCGGUAAAAGAUGGGCCCGCAUCUGAUUAGCUAGUUGGUGAGAUAAUAGCCCAUCAAGGCAACGAUCAGUAGCCGACCUGAGAGGGUGACCGGCCACAUUGGGACUGAGACACGGCCCAAACUCCUACGGGAGGCAGCAGUGGGGAAUAUUGCACAAUGGGCGAAAGCCUGAUGCAGCAACGCCGCGUGAAGGAAGACGGUUUUCGGAUUGUAAACUUCUAUCAAUAGGGAAGAAAGAAAUGACGGUACCUAAAUAAGAAGCCCCGGCUAACUACGUGCCAGCAGCCGCGGUAAUACGUAGGGGGCAAGCGUUAUCCGGAAUUACUGGGUGUAAAGGGAGAGUAGGCGGCAAGGUAAGCGAUAUGUGAAAGCCUUAAGCUUAACUUAAGGAUUGCAUAACGAACUAUCUAGCUAGAGUACAGGAGAGGAAAGCGGAAUUCCUAGUGUAGCGGUGAAAUGCGUAGAUAUUAGGAAGAACACCAGUGGCGAAGGCGGCUUUCUGGACUGAAACUGACGCUGAGGCUCGAAAGCGUGGGGAGCGAACAGGAUUAGAUACCCUGGUAGUCCACGCUGUAAACGAUGAGUGCUAGGUGUCGGGGAGGAAUUCCCG
rnacentral:rRNA from 1 species